ACUACGGGCGGCAGCAGUGAGGAAUAUUGGUCAAUGGGCGCGAGCCUGAACCAGCCAAGUAGCGUGAAGGAUGACUGCCCUACGGGUUGUAAACUUCUUUUAUAAAGGAAUAAAGUGAGGCACGUGUGCCUUUUUGUAUGUACUUUAUGAAUAAGGAUCGGCUAACUCCGUGCCAGCAGCCGCGGUAAUACGGAGGAUCCGAGCGUUAUCCGGAUUUAUUGGGUUUAAAGGGAGCGUAGAUGGGUUGUUAAGUCAGUUGUGAAAGUUUGCGGCUCAACCGUAAAAUUGCAAUUGAUACUGGAAGUUUUGAGUACAUGUGAGGUAGGCGGAUGUCGUGGUGUAGGGGUGAAAUGCUUAGAUACCACGAAGAACCCAGAUUGGGAAGGCAGCUUACUAAACUGCCACUGACAUUGAUGCUCGAAAGUGUGGGUAUCAAACAGGAUUAGAUACCCGAGUAGUC
rnacentral:rRNA from 1 species